CCAGGUCCCUGCCCACAGGUGACAGCCACUGACGCCGACCCACCCCUUCCCCGGCCAUCGGACUUCGAGUCACCAGCCGUACCUGUUCAGCUCGAGGCACUCAGUCUCCGGUCCCCUCCUACUUCACAUCGGGAACUCCCUUUCUCCUCUCCUCAAUUCACUUCCCAAUUCCGUGCCUGGUAACAUCAUUAACUCCCAUCAAUAUAACUCUAUACGCGCACCACCACCACCACCUCCCUCCCUCUCGAGAUGAGUUAUCGUGCGUGUGCGUCACGCGUGCGAAGAGGAGGCGAAAUAAUAAUAAGCUAAUGAUGACGAGAGAGAGAGAGAGAGAGAGAAGCGGAGGAAGAGCUAACGGGCAGAAGCAGGUACGUACAAGGUGGAGGAGCGCGGUGGAAUUGUUUGAGGUCGACUACCUGCCAAUGCAUACCCAGUGGACGAUCGGCACGAUGAUCAUUUAUUGCGGGAACGAAGGAAUCUGUGGGUGUCGCAAUAAAUGACCGUCUCUGCUCCAGCGUUUGUACUUCUCUCAUGCUGCGCUAGCUGCACUGGACUAGCUAGCUCCUACGCUUUAUGUUUCCACUCCUCUUAAUGCCGACGUCUGAGCUUCUUCGUCUUCUACAAGUCACAGAGCAUCUUCCAGCUGCUGAGAAAGAAGCAUGGCGCUGGCGUGCGCGUUGUUUGGAGGUGAGUCGAUUCGAGUUUGUGCCUAAGUGAGCUCGGACCAGGCUUCAUUCCUCAUAACCGACAUUUUUGCCUCCAUUUCAUAGUUCCCUACGGCCAAAGAUUUUGAAGGCAAAUGACGAAGAAGAAGCAUAACAAGAAGAGAAGGUAGAAGAAACACGUAACUGACGCGAUGUGACGUUUUAAGAACUUCAAUUACAGUAUCUACGCACUGAAAACUUAUUAGCUCAUUGUUCUGUUCUGAGUUCUGACCCUGUUUUAUUAUAAUAUUAAUUAGUCAAUAUAUAUAUCUAUGCAUCCGGACGUGUGUAUAUAUAUAUAUAAAUUAAUUAAUAAAUUU